CGAUCUACGUUCCCAUCUUCACCUAUGGUCAUGAGCUUUGGGUUAUGACCGAAAGGACAAGAUCACUGGUACAAGCGGCCGGUGUUUAGGGCACGUCCGACCGGUAGGAGGCCAGGGGGAAGACCCAGGACACGUUGGGAAGACUAUGGGAACGCCUCGGGAUCCCCCGGGAAGAGCUGGACGAAGUGGCUGGGGAGAGGGAAGUCUGGGCUUCCCUGCUUAGGCUGCUUCCCCCACGGUAAAAUGUUGGUUAAUGACUAAAUUCAUUUUGGCUUUUUGUUUUGCAGGUUUGUUUCCACAAGUUAGCUAACAUUACUAAGGUAAGGUUUGAGGGUAAGAAGGUAUCCACAGUAUCAAUUAAACUGUUUGUCAAAACUGCACUGGUUGACUUUAAGACUAUUCAUGGUUUCUUUUGGGUAUGUUAUCAUCUCAAUUUUAAAUUCCCUUUUUUAAGUUUUUAAUCUGUCCAUAUGUUGCAUAGGUAUUAAAGGCCAUUUCCAGUCAUAUUCAAUGUUGUCUCAGAAAUCAAGUCACCUAUGGUCAGUUCAUCUCAUGCCAUGUAAACAUAUUUGCACUGGACUAAUAAUGGCUCAUAGUGGUUCAAAAUGUCUUAAAAUGUAGCUUGUUCUAACUACUAUGUGUAUUAUACUUUCUUGUUAGGCUAUAAUUAAAUGUUUAUUAUUUUUACACUUAGUCCUUCUGUUGUCAACUUGGAGUUGUAUUGAAUUUGUUGUGUUAGUGUUAUUUCUCUGUACAUUUUUGUUUAUACACAUGUAAAAGAAUGGCUUCUCCCAGAUCUCUCACAACAGUCCUCCUGGAUGGCAGAGACAUUUUCAAGAAGACUUACACUCUUGGUAAUGUCAAGGACAUUACAGAGGCGUGUACAUCUGCACUGUCGUGCAAAGCAGAAAUGACCAGAAUUCUGAAGUUCUGCUCAGAUUUUAAUAAAUACAUUGACACUGAUGUGAACUGCAAAGUUGAAAACAUGGAUACAUUCCAAAUUCUAUUCAAGUCCAUUCAAUCAGAUGUUUGUGAUGUCAGUGCCACUGCUGUCACCACACAGGAAAUAGAAGUACAGCAGAUUUCAACAGCAGCCGGUGAUCUUGAUCCUGAGAGUGCGAAGACUCACCUCCAACAAAAAGAUCCCAGGAUUUUUGCAUUCUACGAGGAGAAUGGGACCCAAAAAUGAAGAAGGGUACUGGUAACAACUGCCAUCAGUUUCCUUGUUGAAAAAAUAGAAUUUAUGUUUUUCCUCAGUUAUCCAGUAAGUGCGGACAAAAAACUUCUCGCCAGAACCAUUGUGACACUUUACCCAUCACUUAACAUCAAAAUGGAUGACGAAAAUGAGGGAUAUGUAAGGAAAUGAUUUUAAGAGAACACUUCUAUGAUCCAACUGCCACACUGGCUUUCUGGAAGAUAAGCUGAGGAAUAUCAGCCGAAAACUAAGGGAUGAUCGGCGCCGUUAUUGCAGAAGGGGUGGCUCAUCUGAAGUCACUGUUCGACUUGAAGAAGUUACAGAAAGUGAUGAGUCUGUCCAAGAAUGGAUAACUGUGAUCAAAAGGAUGAAGCUUAGUCCGGAGAACCAUUCUUCGAUUAAGAUGGGUAUGGACAAAACCGACUUUCACCGAAGAUACUGGAUAUCUAAUCAGUCACCUACUCUGGCAGAGAUUGUUGAGAACUACCCUCGUUAUGCUAUAUCUGAUUGACAGAGAGUUUGAGAAGAUGUUUCCAAACAAGACAGAUAUCUUUCUACGCAAAUGGGACCCAACCAUGGUCCCAAAGUUGUUGAAGCUGGCUGCUCUUGAAGGAAAAGCUGAACCACCAGAAGCUGAGAGUGCUGCCAGGAACAAACUUCCAUUACCUCCUACAAACCACUGACCCUGCUGCAGUGAUGCAACCUCGUUUGGUGAGCAUUGGACAUCCCAGCUCAACAUCAACACAAUAUGUCAUCGUGGCUGCCAAUGAUGUCAUUCCACUUCAGGAAGAGGGUCUCACCUGCAGUCUGGACAAACUCUUCAAGUUGUAUUGGGUUUGUAACCUUGCCUGUUUGGUAAAGUAUGAGUUGUUGAUUGAAAAAAUGGCAGGCUGUGGACAUGAUUUAAACAUUUUGAGUAUGAUAAGUGUGGCCAGUUGUGUGUCUAUAUUUGGUCAUUGCUACAGACCUGGUUGUGUGGUUUCCUUAAAAUGUGAUCUAGACAACGAACAUAUCUUUGGAGAGACAGUGAUGAGGUGUUCAUUUUGUUGAGAGUUCCUAAGUAUUUUGAUGACCACCAUCACACUUAUGUGAUUGAAAUGACAAAUUAAUUUCAAGUGAUAAUCUGAAAGAUGCAACUGAUGCUUUGCCACUUGAUGUAUAUGAGCUGAGAGAUUCUGAAUUGCACUUACUGACAAGAUACAGACUUAUUUCCUAAAUGUUGUGACUGGUAUGGUAAAAUGGUAAAAGUAAAUGUAAUGAAUAGAAGGAAUUAUUGAAUUAAAUGCCAAUUAAAUUUCAAUUAUGUUGUUUUUUAUAUAGCAUAGCAUGCACACACACACACACACACACAAACAAACACGUGUUGCCAAUAUACACAAUGUGUUGCUUUUAAAUAAGUAAGUAACACAAACAUUUGUUACUAAAACCUACACAUUUACUGUGUUAAUAUAAGUAACAAAGUUAUGUGUUAAAAUGAACAAAAAUUGAGUUGUCCCCCUCUGGACAUGGAGAUGUGUAAAAAAACAACACAAAUUGUGUUAUUUCCAACACAUUCGUUUUAAGAGUGUAGAUAGAGUGAAAUAUGAAGCACGUUUGUAUAACAAUUUCCAACCAACAUAAUUAAUUUCAGACCAUUUACACCUUUCGAGACUCUUGAGCAGCUUAAGGCCUUCUGUGAACGGCUCGACACUGAUCUUCUGCUCAGAAAGCAGCUGGUGAAAGCUCUUACUGCUCUUGGUGGGCAGAAUUUGGCAGACACGGUGGUACAAUGCUGAGAAAAAUUGCCACAAACAAAGUCCUGGAGCAGCUUGGCCUCCGUGGAAAGACAGGAAAAGUGGCGUUUAUCCCAGUGCCAAGGUGCACUGGGAUAGGCUCCAGUAGAUUUAUGCUGCUUUAACAUCUGCUGACUGAAGAAUCCUCCAUCAAGUCUUUUAUUGGGCGCCAAACAAUCAUCCAUGCCACACCCACUUCAAGUCCAUUUUUUUUUUUCUAUUUAUAGAAUAAUAAAUAGUAAGUGUUAAUAAUAGGUUUGCAUCUUUGAACAUAUGUUGCAUGUAUGCUCACAAGGUCGAUCUAGCUGUUAUUAUUACGGUAUUUAUUCUAAAGGGAAUUCUAAAUUGUGCUGGUGAUUCCAGAGGCAUGCAGGGGUGUUUACAAACAGACGACCACAGCUGAAGUGAAUUGUGAGCUUGGAGAGGUCCUGAAACUGGCCACUUUGAAGAGAAGAUAAAAUAUCCCAAUUUUGAAUUCCAUUUUAUUGAAGUUCCACUGCAUGUCUUUUGAAUUUGCAAUUAUAACUACUUGCAGGAGAAGAGGAGGAAUUAAGAGGGAGGGCAAAAAAGGAAAAAGAAACAAGCAAAAGAACAGAGAUAGUGACAGUGAGAUGAGUGACCAGGAAGCGACGGCGAAGAAGGGCAAAGGGAAGUGUACAAAGGAAAGGGACAGUGAGAGUGACAGUGAGAUGAGUGACCAGGAAGCGAAGAAGAAGAAAACAGGGAAAGGGAAAGGGAAAAGAACCAAGCAAACGGGACAGUGAGACCAGUGAACAUUGAGCAGGAAGAGAACCAACAAGAAGGGGCAUGAGUACACUGACGCGCACGACCAAGACCACUGCAUUCC